GUCCACGCCGUAAACUAUGGAAGCCAGCCGUUGGGGGGUUUACCCCUCAGUGGCGCAGCUAACGCAUUAAGCUUCCCGCCUGGGGAGUACGGUCGCAAGAUUAAAACUCAAAGGAAUUGACGGGGGCCCGCACAAGCGGUGGAGCAUGUGGUUCAAUUCGAAGCAACGCGAAGAACCUUACCAGCCCUUGACAUGGCAGGACGACGUUCAGAGACGGACGUUUUCCCUUCGGGGACCUGCACACAGGUGCUGCAUGGCUGUCGU
rnacentral:rRNA from 1 species